AUCUUUCUAGUACAAUUUAGUAUCAGUGACUUCCAAUCACUUGAUCUUGGUGAAAAUCCAAGGAAAGAUA
rnacentral:tRNA from 1 species